rnacentral:rRNA from 1 species
UACGUAGGGAGCAAGCGUUGUCCGGAAUCAUUGGGCGUAAAGCGCGCGUAGGCGGCCCUGUAAGUCCGUUGUGAAAGUCAAAGGCUCAACCUUUGAAAGCCGAUGGAUACGUGCAGGGCUGGAGUCCGGAAGAGGCGAGUGGAAUUCCUGGUGUAGCGGUGGAAUGCGCAGAUAUCAGGAGGAACACCAAUAGCGAAGGCAGCUCGCUGGGACGGUACUGACGCUAAGGCGCGAAAGCGUGGGG